GGCCUAAGAAAAACACUUAAUUCAAGAAAAAAUCUAGAAAAUUUCUUAACCUAUGUGCAGAUUUAUUUGCUUGUUUUAAGCACAAAUCACUUUUAUUUUAUAUAUUUCACUUAUUUUGCUAAAUAUCAUGGAUUUUAUCAACUGGUCUCUCGACGCUUCUUCUCGACAAGAAGCUUGGGUUCAGGGGAACCUGACUGCCCUGCCGGAACGUUCGCACCUGGCAAUACGAUAGACGCGUGGGAGAGGUGGCGGGUUGUGUAUCUGGUGGCUCUUUCUGUGGAGGUCAUUGAAGAUAUCCACCUAUUCGGAACCAUGAUAACAGGUUUUCUGCUGAUUGGAUUAGGCAUUGCCCUGGUUUUUCCGAGGGAUUCAGAAAACAGUAACAGCUGUCCAAAACCUCACAAGGCUGCCCGUCAUGAUUGAAGCCGUGGGAAGAGCGGUCAGCACUGAGACUGGGACCAUUAACCGCAAUAUGGAUAACAUCAUGGAGAAGUUCAUGGCUUUGCAAAGGCAAACGGAACGAUUCGGAGACCAGAAUGUACUAAGAGAGUAGUCGUGUAAAUUGGAAUGCAUCUACUCGCCCCAAGACCAAACAAUCCAAAUCUUAUCUGCUUUCGCCUCCCCUUAAUCAGCACUUGCCUCGGCCAAGGCCACUGUUGGAACAGAAAGUCCACCGGAAGAGCACUGCAGUGAGACGCUCUUGCGUUCUUCCACAGACACCUGUUGAUAGUUGACUCAGUCUGUGACCUGAUCAAGGCCGUCUCCAUGGCAAUUUGCUUUGUAUCGCUAUGGGAAUCUUGCGGACUGAGGCAUCUUGAAUUGAUGCCGGGAGUAGCGACUCUCCAGGCCUACACAUACAAGAACUUUUACAUAAGCCCUUUUCACACAGGCAUUCCGGAAAAUACAUCCUGGAUUUUUCCGGGAUCGUUAGAUUUUUUGUUCAUUCACACUGCCAAUGAUCUUCUACGCAGCAUCUGAAGUUUAGAUAUAUUUAUUAUUUCUUUCUCCAGAAACCACUCGCAUGCAUUUUUGUUUAUGAUAAGACUAUAAAGGAGCGCGUGAACGCACAGUUCUAUGCUGGUGAAUGAUCUCAGCCUCAGAGUGGAUAUUUGACCUGAUCUCUGCUUUAAUCCAGUUUUCAGACAUUUCUCAUCGUAAUUGUAAAUAUGCAUUUAAACCCCCCGUUUUGAGGAGCUGAACGAUAUCUCUUGUUGGGAUGAUGCGCGGGCAUUUUUGUUUAUUAUAAUAUUAAAUGAAUGAUCUCCGCUUCAGCGUGGUGGAUGCAAGACUCUUUCAACUGGUCUUCUAGUUCUGCUUGGACCUGGACAGACUGGUUCAGUCUUUGGUUCUGCUCCUGUUUUUGGUUCAUGGCUUCUUGAUUUUCCUGUUUUGAGAUGUGAAAACCCAGCUAAAGACAUUUUUGUGAUUUAUUGUUUUCUACAUAAAAUCAAUCUACGUAAAGGACAUUCUGUGAGAAUAUAACCUUGAUAUCCUUAAUAUUAACUGAGUAAGGUCAUGUCAAAGAUUAAAAUCAAGGUAAAAUCAAUGAGUGAAAAAUAUACAUCUCAUAAUAAAAUUAUGAGACUUUAGCCUGGAUUUCACACACAGGGUCAUGUAUUGAAAACAGUGUUUGACCUCCUGAAAAGACUGAAGCUGUCUUAAUGCAUUAUUUUUUUCAUAUUCAAGCUCUUCUGCUCUCUCUUCUGUCCUUCUGAGAGCUUCUCUAAGCUUCUUUAUUUCUUUCUCAGUCUGCUUUUGUCCCUGAUGGAGACAACAUCAUAUACAACAUGUUCAUAUACUUUUCUAAAAUUUUAUUUGUAUUUUUUUUAACUGUAUGUAUAUACGUGAUAUAUGAUGCAAGACUGUUAAAGUCUGAUAUUAAAAGUUUUUUGCUGUACACA